GAACUUCUGCAAUUACAUUAAUUGAAGGUAAUGAAAGGAAUAUUAAAAUGAUGAUUGAAAAGUUAGUUUGGUAAUGCAAACAUCACAUCGAUGUUUAUGCAAAGAUAUGACACUUGGGCCCAACUCAUGUCUCAUCUCUAAAAGCUAGCUUAUUUGGGGGGUAGUCCAAGUCCAUUUAACAAACCACCCGACCAUUCCACAUAGGAUGAGGGACUCUAACCCCUCACCCCAGCAGGAGCAUGGACCGGUAGCCCAAAUAGGGAUGGACCUAGCUUUGAUACCAUGUAAAGAUAUGCACCUAGGCCUAGGUCAACCCAUACGUUAGGGAUUGAACUCGUACGAGGAAAUUGUGGAUAUUGUAUAAAAUAGUAUUAUUUAACAAACCACCAUCCAUUCCACAUAGGAUGAGGGACUCUAACCCUUCACGCCUAGGCCCAACAGGAGCAAUGGACCGGUAGCCCAAAUAGGGAUGGACCUAGCUUUGAUACCAUGUAAAGAUAUGCACCUAGGCCUAGGUCAACCCCAUAGUUAGGGAUUGAACUCUCGAGAAAUUGUGGAUAUUGUAUAAAAUAGUAUUAUUUAACAAACCACCCAUCCAUUCCACAUAGGAUGAGGGACUCUAACCCUUCACGCCUAGGCCCAACAGGAGCAUGGACCGGUAGCCCAAAUAGGGAUGGACCUAGCUUUGAUACCAUGUAAAGAUAUGCACUAGGCAUAGCUCAAC
rnacentral:lncRNA from 1 species